GCUUCGCCUUACUCGUCAUUCACCUCGUGGAUAUGCAGUGAUCUCUUUGGCCCUGCUGACUGACUUGCUCGACUGGUCGGUAAUAAGAAACUGACUCACUUGACUGGCUCUUAAUGAUGGACACAAUCACUGGUAUAGCACAGAUCACCACUGCCUAAGUAGAUGCCAGUAGACUAGUGCUUGACUCUCGAGACCUCUCUAGUCAGGCUGUACAUCUCAUGAUCAACCUCUCAUUCUGUGUUUCAGUUGGUGUUUGUCAAUCUUUUCUCUCUGUUGUCUAUCUGUGUGUCCCAUCCAUCAGUCCGUAUGUCUGUCUUCCUGUACAUCCGUCUGCUCGUCUGUCUUUCUGCCCGUUCAUCUGUGCGGAUGUCUCUCCGUUCACUCGUCUGUUCCACCAUCUGUGCAUGUUUGACGCUCCGUCGAUACGUCUGUCUGCUUUAUGCCCGUUCGUGCAUGUGUCCAUUCUUCUGUCUAUAUUGUCUGUCUAAUGUUCCAGCCUGUUUUUAGGUCGGUGCAUCUGUACAUCUGUGUACGUCUCUCUCUAUCUGUGGUUCUGCACGUCUGCAAGUUCCCGAGUUCAUUCUGUCUAUGUCUGCCUGUCCGUCUGUCUGUCUUCCUUUCAGCUUCAGCCCACUUGUUUGUCCAUUAAGACAAUUUCGUGUCAGUGCGUCCAAAUGGCUCUCCCUUCCUGUCAAUUUGUCACUGGAUGCCGGACAAACAAAAGCACUUAGAAGAUGCCAUUAAUUGCCCCUCUCUGCCUUGGUCUCGCAUUCGACCAUGCACUUUGCCCAUUAGACAGCCGAUUAUCGUCGGAUUGGUGCCCAAUAAGACGACUCAACAACACGGCUGCACUGAUCAUCUUCAAGCGUAUCAAGAUGCCUAAGAACCAAAACACAAAAAUAAAAUUGCAUUUCAACACCGGGUGCUCGAACGAAAACACCUGUGUAAGAUAGGCCAGCUUAACUUUUGCGUGCUGGAAGACAGAACUUUCGCACCCAGGGAGGGCUUCUCUUGUGUAACAAGUUCACUGACUGCUGUGCCCAAGGGCUGGAUGGUUCUAUGCAAUGACUCACCUUUGCGCCCGCGAGUUUCUUCAAACGAAGGCAGCUAACGAUUGGUGCAAGUGACAUUUUGGAUGGACUUCUUGAUACCAGACCCACCUAACAGCCAGCAUUUAACACAAUCAAGAAAAUUACCAGUCGCCGAACAAUUUGACCAUAGCCGGGAUAUUGGCAUAACGGAGCUGGCUGCAGAUGAGAUCGACCCGGGAGAUCGACCGGGAUCUGGCCCCCUUCGUGACUAGAGUGAGGAUAUGCCUCAGGAAACGGCCUUGUGACGCUGAGCUGGACUUGACCGGUGGCGUCGAGAAUCGCACGUCCAACAACUGGCUGGACUUCGAAACUACGGAAGGAGCACGUUACUGCGUCCAGGUGGAGGCGAACACGUUGUGCGGAGAUCAUUAGCUGUCGUCCAGCCAAUGCAGAAGUCGUGGUGCCCUUCAUUCAAGAGUGUUGAAAUAAACUUCAUAGUAAAUACUGAUUGUGCCAAGCAGAGCAUCCAAAUCACUAUGUAAUUUAUUAACCAUCAAAAAUAAACUGCUAAGCUCUUGAAAAAACAAAUAUUUUCACAAUCUCCAUUUUUUAGGUGUCUUUGUAAUCUUGUUCGUUGUGUACUUGUUGAGCUCGUUCUUGCUACUUUGUGUGCUAUUUUUAGUCCAAUUUUUGCUGAAUUUUAUAGCGCUUACGUGUUUAUGCUGCAACAAAUGUAUCUUUAUUUU